rnacentral:rRNA from 1 species
AGCGAACGCUGGCGGCAUGCCUAACACAUGCAAGUCGAACGAUCCCUUCGGGGAUAGUGGCGCACGGGUGCGUAACGCGUGGGAACCUGCCCUUAGGUUCGGAAUAACUCAGAGAAAUUUGAGCUAAUACCGGAUAAUGUCUUCGGACCAAAGAUUUAUCGCCUUUGGAUGGGCCCGCGUUGGAUUAGCUAGUUGGUGGGGUAAAGGCCUACCAAGGCGACGAUCCAUAGCUGGUCUGAGAGGAUGAUCAGCCACACUGGGACUGAGACACGGCCCAGACUCCUACGGGAGGCAGCAGUGGGGAAUAUUGGACAAUGGGCGAAAGCCUGAUCCAGCAAUGCCGCGUGAGUGAUGAAGGCCUUAGGGUUGUAAAGCUCUUUUACCCGGGAUGAUAAUGACAGUACCGGGAGAAUAAGCCCCGGCUAACUCCGUG